rnacentral:rRNA from 1 species
UACGGAGGAUGCAAGCGUUAUCCGGAAUGAUUGGGCGUAAAGCGUCCGCAGGUGGCUGUGUAAGUCUGCUGUUAAAGAGCAAAGCUUAACUUUGUAAAAGCAGUGGAAACUACACAGCUAGAGUGCGUUCGGGGCAGAGGGAAUUCCUGGCGUAGCGGUGAAAUGCGUAGAGAUCAGGAAGAACACCGGUGGCGAAGGCGCUCUGCUAGGCCGCAACCGACACUGAGGGACGAAAGCUAGGGGAGCGAAUGGG